UGGCCUUAAAGUUUUUCAACUUACAUUGCUUUUGUCUUUUGAAGUUCACUUGUGUCAACUUGCAUCGUAACGGAACCAACACAACACCCCUGACUCUAGUUGCGAAAUUAAGUGAGCUAAGAGUUUCAUCCAAGUCCUUGUCCGAUGGACUGAUUUGCACGAACAUCAGUUUUAGCGUCACCCCCUACAUGUUAGGGAAGAGCAUUAUCAAUACAUGC